rnacentral:rRNA from 1 species
UACAGAGGUCCCAAGCGUUGUUCGGAUUCAUUGGGCGUAAAGGGUGCGUAGGUGGCGCCGUAAGUCAGGUGUGAAAUCUCGGGGCUUAACUCCGAAACUGCAUUUGAUACUGCGGUGCUUGAGGACUGGAGAGGAGACUGGAAUUUACGGUGUAGCAGUGAAAUGCGUAGAGAUCGUAAGGAAGACCAGUGGCGAAGGCGGGUCUCUGGACAAUUCCUGACACUGAGGCACGAAGGCCAGGGGAGCAAACGGG